rnacentral:sRNA from 2 species
AUCUAUCACUGUUAAUCUAUUACUGCUGUCAAUCUAUCUAUUGCUGCUAAUCUAUCACUGUCAAUCUAUCUAUCGCUGCUAAUCUAUCACUGCUAAUCUAUCACUGCCAAUCUAUUGCUGCUAAUCUAUCACUGCUAAUCUACCACUGCUAAUCUACCGCUGCCAAUCUAUCUACCGCUGUCAAUCUAUCUAUCGCUGCUAAUCUAUCGCUGUCAAUCUAUCUACUGCUGUCAAUCUAUCUAUCACUGCCAAUCUACCUACCGCUGCCAAUCUAUCUACUGCUGCUAAUCUAUCUACCACUGUCAAUCUAUCUACUGCUGUUAAUCUAUUUAUUACUGCUAAUCUAUCACUGCUAAUCUAUUGCUGUCAAUCUAUCUAUCACUGCCAAUCUAUCUAUCACUGCUAAUCUAUCACUGCUAAUCUAUCGCUGCUAAUCUAUUGCUGCUAAUCUACUGCUGUCAAUCUAUCUAUCACUGCCAAUCUAUCUAUCACUGCUAAUCUAUUGCUGCUAAUCUAUUGCUGCUAAUCUAUUACUGCUAAUCUAUCACUGCUAAUCUAUUGCUGUCAAUCUAUCUACCACUGUCAAUCUAUCUACUGCUAUCAAUCUAUCUAUUACUGUCAAUCUAUAUAGAGUAAAUUAUAGUUUUAUUUGAUUUCAUUUUAUAAAAUGAGAUUAAAUGAGAUCAGAAUCACUAAUUUAUUAGUAAAAUAUAAUCUGAGACUAGAUUUAUAAUAUAAACAGUAUAAAGUGACUAAUUUGCUAAACACUAU